AGGGUUGUGGCUCAGUGGUAGAGCACUUGUCUGGCAAAUGUGAGGCAUUGGGUUCAAUCCUU
rnacentral:tRNA from 1 species